AGCUGAUGUUAGCUAAAAGAUGACUAGCUAAUGUUAGCUAAAAGAUGACUAGCUGAUGUUAGCUAAAAGAUGACUAGUUAAUGUUAGCUAAAAGAUGACUAGCUAAUGUUAGCUAAAAAGAUGACUAGCUGAUGUUAGCUAAAAAGAUGACUAGCUGAUGUUAGCUAAAAGAUGACUAGCUAAUGUUAGCUAAAAGAUGACUAGCUAAUAUUAGCUAAAAGAUGACUAGCUAAUGUUAGCUGAAAAGAUGACUAGCUAAUGUAGUUUUACUGCGCUGUACCUUUUUCUUUUACUUGAGUCAUAUUAUUGUUGCUACAUAGACUCAUUUUGCCCCUAAAAUUAGCCAAUGCCCCACCCCCUGUUAAAGUCCGGGGCAACAGGUGUUCUGUUUAUCUGUGCUAACUGUAAAUCCGUCCUACCUUGUGGUAAGGCGCACAUCAAUGCUACGUCACAUACUGCUAACUCAGCAGAUUUCUUAUAAAUACGUCCUACCUGUGGAAGUUUCAUUUCAUGUGUUUUGUUUCAUCGAAGAUUACAGUAAGCUUUAUUUAAUUUAUUUUAUACGUGGCUUUCACUGCUGUUUCACUUCAUGUUUUUACUUUACAUAACAGGCUGCACAGUGGCCCAGUUGGUAGCACUGUUGCCUUGAAGCAAGAAGGUCCUGGGUUCGAUUCCCGGCCUGGGGUCUUUCUGCAUGGAGUUUGCAUGUCUGUGUUGCCCUGCGACAGACUGGCGACCUGUCCAGGGCGUACCCUGCCUCUCGCCCGGAACGUUAUCUGGAGAUAGACAGCAGCACCUUUCGACCCCUCUAAGGGACAAGGGUGAAAGAAAAUAGAUGGAUGACAGGCAGCUUGUAAAUGGCUUUAGUUUGCCGUCUGCAUAGUCGUUACUACUGUAAACAACUGUCAUUGUUUGGUGGUUAAUCGGGACAAAAUACGUUGUUUUUUGGGCUAUUCUGUCCCUAAAUUUUAAAAUAUUUUAGUUUAAUUACACUCUUUCUUUAUUAUUAAACUUUGCUAAAUAGAUGUGGGACUGAAGCUGUGUAAUAACAGUGUAAUAUUAGUGUAUAUUAAUCAUAGCCUAUCAUUUCAGGAACACAGUGACCUGCUCAGUUCGGUGACACAUUGUGGCUGCGCUGCAUUUGAUAAAGUUUGUUAUACAGCGGAUUAAUGCGCAAAAAAAGUUACGGUGAUCUGUUGUCUGUUUAAUUUAAUUCCAAUAAAAACCUGUUUCCUCUGUCUGAUACUGUUUUAUUCUUACAAACGCCUCUGUAUUAAAAAUCUUUUUAACAGGUAGGAUAUUCUAGUAAAGGAUUAGUGCAUACAUCUACAGCUUUUCAUUUUAAACAGGUAGAUAUUCAGAUGAAGGAAGUCAUCUUCUUGUGGUUUCGUCAUGGAUAGAAAUUGUUUCGAUGCUAAGCUAACCAUAACUGUUAAGCUUCCACUUCAGUCCCUCAAAUAAUGUUAUAAAAUAUAUUUAACAUUAACAACCUGCUAUAGUUUUCUGAUUGUAAACAUGAUGGUAGCAGCUUUGGACGCGUAGCACCGACAGACAGACUAGUGCUACGGUAGGAAAAUCUGACGAGGCAGCUCAGAUAGUCAGAACACCGGACAUCUGAAAAUAUCUCA